GGCAGGUGGAAAUGUCACCCCCACCACCAUCCCCUCGGGAGCCCGGCGAGCCGCAGAGUUAAGCUGUUCAGAGAAAGGAAUGUGGAGUGAAUCUUCCCGGAAUGUCUCUUUACAAGGAAUUUUUUGAACAGUUUGUUUUUUGUAAAUAGACACAAAUUCCUAAACUAUUAUCUCUCCAGAGAGCCUCCUCCUCCCCAGUUAACUCACAUAAAAUAAGGCUUUUUAAGGCCUGAGGAAGGAGGUUUGUGGCUUCAAACCUCCUUUGUCUCAGCCCAGCUGUGUCCGUUGAGC